rnacentral:rRNA from 1 species
AUGAACGUUGGCGGCGUGGAUUAGGCAUGCAAGUCGUACGGGUGUAGCAAUACACUAGUGGCGAAAGGGACAGUAAUGUAUAGGUUACCUGCCUUCAGGACGGGGAUAGCGGUGGGAAACUGCCGGUAAUACCCGAUGAUAUCUCCGGAUUAAAGGUGUGAAUCCGCCGGGAGAUGGGCCUAUAUCCUAUUAGCUUGUUGGUGAGGUAAUGGCUCACCAAGGCAUCGAUGGGUAGCGGGUGUGAGAGCACGACCCGGGUCAUUGGGACUGAGACACUGCCCAGACACCUACGGGUGGCUGCAGUCGAGAAUCUUCGGCAAUGGGCGCAAGCCUGACCGAGCGACGCCGCGUGCGGGAUGAAGGCCUUCGGGUUGUAAACCGCUGUUAGUGGGGAGGAAGGCCGUGUGAAGAGCACGGUUUGACCUAUCCACAGAGGAAGUGUGGGCUAAGCUCGU